rnacentral:rRNA from 1 species
CCUACGGGGCGCAGCAGUGGGGGAUAUUGCACAAUGGGGGAAACCCUGAUGCAGCGACGCCGCGUGGGCGAAGAAGUAUUUCGGUAUGUAAAGCCCUAUCAGCAGGGAAGAAGGAAUGACGGUACCUGAGUAAGAAGCACCGGCUAAAUACGUGCCAGCAGCCGGGGUAAUAGGUAUGGUGCAAGCGUUAUCCGGGUUUACUGGGUGUAAAGGGAGCGCAGGCAGCACGUCAAGCCUGAUGUGAAAGCCAGCGGCCCAACCGCAGGACUGCAUGGGGAACUACCGGGCUGGAGUGGCGGCGAGGUAGGCGUAAUUCCGAGUGUAGCGGUGACAUGCGUAGAUAUUAGGAGGAACACCAGUGGCGAAGGCGGCCUACUGGACGGUGACUGACGCUGAGGCUCGAAAGCGUGGGAGCAAACAGGAUUAGAUACCCCUGUAGUC